GGGUCACAGAGCCCACCAGCCAUUGGAUCCAGGCAUUGGCCAACAGAGCAUAACUCCCAUCAACUUCAAGUGAGAUAAAGAACCACUAUGGAGGGUCAGAACCGUGCUGUUGCUCCAUCCUACCUAGGAUGGUCCAUCUUUACCACUUUGUGCUGUUGUCUGCCUCUGGGGAUUGCUGCUCUCAUCUGCUCCUGCAAGGCACAAAAUUCUAACGCUGCCGGAGACUCGGCUCAAGCAGCAGAUGCAUCGAGGACAGCCAAGAUCCUAAAUAUCGUUGGACUGGUGUGUGGAAUCAUUUUGAUCAUCAUCAUCAUCGCUAUCAAAGCCACCUCACAAAAAUGAAGCUGCAGGUUUUUUUUGCCUGCAGAUGUUUGGAUAUCAGCAAAGCUUUUGGCUCCAAUGGACUUCCCCUCCCCCCACACAAAGGACCACUAAAUGGAAACAGAUGUCUUUAUGUGUGCGAAAACAUAGGUUGCCUGAAUAUGUUUGCCUGUGUACCCCUUUUAAUCAAGCUCCUGUAAACACACCCAUGGCAUUAUAAUGCAUUGUUUGUGGUGGUGAAAGAAAGAAACAUGCAAUGUGUCUACAUGUGUUUUACAUUGUGAUUCAUGUUUUGUGUUUUGUUUAAAAAAAAUAAUAAAUACUGCAAAACAGA